UAAAUAACAUCCCCAACCUUAAACUAUCAUUCAAAUGUAAGGAAAAUAUCAAAUCUAUUUUUUCUCACACCAAAGAUAAAAUUGGAAAAACAUCAAAAAGUGGUAUAUACAAAUUGUCCUGUGGAGACUGCCCUGUUACCUAUGUGGGGAGAACUAUGCGACCUUUGGAAACACGCAUCAAAGAACAUUUGUCUAAGAUUGACAAAUCUAGUUUUGGCAAUCACUUACAUGCUUCUAAACAUAACUUCAGUCCCCAAAGAGAUAGUAGGAUUCUACAUAGUAUACCCAUUAACAACUAUACAAAAAUGAAUUUAUUAGAAGACUUAGAAAUUAGCAGGGAAUUAAAAAGAAAUCCUCAAAAUUGUGUUAACACCCAGGUUCAAUUAAAUUGUAAAUUUGAUCCAAUCUUUAAGAAGUUUCUUUAAUACUGUUAUAUUCAGCAUGCCCAACAAUUGCUCUAGUUUUUUGAACAUUACUUUAUAACAUAUUUGAAUUUUCUUUCAUUGAUUACAAUUAAAUUAAAUAUUUUCGAUUUGGCUUUUUUAAUAAUAAUAUUGUUUUCAAACAGUUUUGGAACUCUGAGCUUGUCCAACGGUGCUUCUCCUUGGUUUUCAUCUAUCUCACUUCUAUAUUUGGUCAGAACUGACUGGUUGUUUGGUUUUUUUAAUAAUUAAUAAUACUUUGAUAAUUUGAUUAUUUUCACAUUUAACUUUAAUUUAAACUUAACAAUUGUCAUUUAAAUUUAACUUUAGUUUUUCAUAUUAACUUUAACGUCAUACCAAUUAGUUAACUACAUAUGACAACUUAGUCAUUUUCAAAAAUUUUAAAUAAUUUUAAUAACACAGAUGUCGCUAGGAACUAUUGUUUCCGUCAGCAGGCUGUCGUUUUGAAUAUUGUCAGUAACAGCUGUUCUUUGUACGAAUGGUGGCCAUUUUAUAAAAAAAACACAUUAAAUGUGAUUUUUAACAUUUAAGGGUUUUUUACCCUAACCAGUGGUUAUAUCCCUGGGUUAAUUUUUAAAAUAUAGAAUGUGUUUGUUCGAAGUUUUCUCUUCUUUUGAGGUUUUUACACCUAUAAGACGAUAGCUCUGAUGAUGGCAUUAAUAUGCUGAAAGUACUUAGCUGAUUUAAUAAAUUAAUUUACACAC
rnacentral:lncRNA from 1 species